rnacentral:rRNA from 1 species
AACGAACGCUGGCGGCAUGCCUAACACAUGCAAGUCGAACGAGACCUUCGGGUCUAGUGGCGCACGGGGGCGUAACGCGUGGGAACCUUCCCUUAGGUUCGGAAUAACUCCCCGAAAGGGGUGCUAAUACCGGAUAAUGUCUUCGGACCAAAGAUUUAUCGCCUUUGGAUGGGCCCGCGUUGGAUUAGCUAGUUGGUAGGGUAAAAGCCUACCAAGGCGACGAUCCAUAGCUGGUCUGAGAGGAUGAUCAGCCACACUGGGACUGAGACACGGCCCAGAAUCCUACGGGAGGCAGCAGUGGGGAAUAUUGGACAAUGGGCGAAAGCCUGAUCCAGCAAUGCCGCGUGAGUGAUGAAGGCAUUAGGGUUGUAAAGCUCUUUUACCCGGGAUGAUAAUGACAGUACCGGGAGAAUAAGCCCCGGCUAACUACGUG